AUACCGCCGGUCAAUGUCUUCUCUUCCUUGUAUCAUAUUUUCCCUUUCUUUUCUGUGCCCUAGCCGUCUCCAUCGCCGCUCAUCUUCCCUCUCGCGAAUUCUUUUCCCCAUCGAGCCGUGCCCUAAUCUCUAAUCUGCCGCUCCCAUUGAGCAUCGACGGUAGGACUCCUCCUCGCCGGCACAAAUCCACUGAUCGAUCAUCGGAUCUGAUCCAUCGCUUCGAGCAGCGGCCCUCGCGCUACUACCUCAGCCCCUUUCUCCCUCACUGCGGUCAUUCUCCCUGUGGCAACCUCGUGCCCUAGAUUGGGUCCACGGCCCGACCGCCCCCUUUUCGACGCCUCCUUCCUUCCGAGCAGUGGAGAUUUGGCCUAGGGCUUGUGUUCACCUGCACAUCUCUUUCCUUUGCCUGAUUCAGUCAUGUAAGCUCUCUGCGACAAUACUGACUUAGGGUUUCCGAUGGCCGGAUUUGAGGGCUGUCAUUUUCCUCCUCUUGGUCUCUGCCAUCGACGUCGCCGCCCCUCUGCUCCGAUUCACCAUCACAGCAAACGCUGUUGAGUGAAAGUCUUUGACUUAUGUUGAGUUAGCUGGAACAACGAACAAUCACUGCUACUAGGAUUUUGGGCGUUGUUGACACUACUGUACCGCUACCGAGGAGCAAUAGGGACUCUGAUUUUGCGACGAGCUGCCUUACGUGAGAUUACCUUUGGCACGCGAUAUAUUGGAGGCGGGUACUUUGACUUAUCUUCAAAGAUAUUGCCGUUUGAUAUGCAUAGUAAUAUUUAACGAGUAGUAAUAUUUAUGUUCAUUUCUGCAUUGGUAUGUUAUUAUCUAUUACCUGAGCAUGUUGUAUUUAUUACCUGCUUUUACAUUCAUGUUCCUUUGAUUAUUUAUGUCCUUAAGGUAAUGACAUACCAUUCCUCAUUAUGU